GGAAGCUCCAUGUUGACCGAAUUGGGUGGCGAUUUCGAAGCCAAUUCCAGAGCCGCCGCCUGUAAUCAAAGCCACCUUCCCUCUCAAUAUGUCUGAACGGAACGGGGACGCCAUCUCUGCUUUCUCUAUAAUCAACGACGAAGAAGCUCCUUGAAAGGUUCUUUGUAUGAUGCCCCCUUUUCUUUUAAAUUUCAUUUCAUUUCGUAAGUUAUUUAAAAUCAGAGAUCUGAUCUACCCACC
rnacentral:misc_RNA from 1 species